rnacentral:lncRNA from 1 species
CCCAGCACCAGCGGGCCUGGGACCAGACAGCUUUGCUGGUCCCUCCCUGUAUGACCUUGAGAAGUUCCUCCCUGCCUCCCCUCUGGGUCUUAGUUUCCUUGUGGGGGGAUGGGACACGACCACACCCCACACCGGAAGCCCCUUUCGGCUCUCAGGGUCCGUGACCGGAAGUGGGAAGUACAAUAGGCCCAAGCACCGGAAGUGUUUCUGAACAAGCAACAGGAUGGAGAAACCCUGGAGAGAGGAGUCAGGAGUUCCACCUGCUCUGUCAGCCAGCGACUGGUCUCUGCUCCGUUGCUGAAGGUAAAGGUCCUGAGAAAAACCAGCAUCGACCGCAGCUGUCCUCAGGGAUACGUGUACACUCGAGAUAAGGCAGAACACGGCAAAGCAAGGAUUCAGAUCCUGCCUCACUCAAAGCCACUGAGUUUCUCUGACAAUCUGAAUGACCUGCCUGACGAUUCUCUUCGCUUAGCAUGGUAAGCUGAAGAUCUUUGAAAACAAAACAAAACAAAACAGUGUAACUAGGGGCACCUGGGUGGCCCCGUCGGUUGAGCGUCCGACUCGUGAUUUCGGCUCAGGUCCUGAUCUCACAGUUCGUGAGGCUCCGAGCUGACAGAGUGGAGCCCGCUUGAGAUUCGCUCUCUUUCUUUCUCUGCCCCUCCCCCCACCUCU